rnacentral:lncRNA from 1 species
CUGUGCUGUACCUGUUCUGAAUGAGUUAUCAUAUGGCGUUUUAGCUGGUUAGCUGAAAUAAAUCUCUUGUCACAUUCCUGACACUCAAAGGUCUCAUGAACCUUUCGAUGCUCCUGGAGAUUUGUUGUUGAGGAACAUUUCUUAUUGCACACUGAACACGUCAGCUUUUUCCUAGAAUUUCCACUAUGAACAUUUUCCUUAUGUUUUUUCAGGGCAUCCUUACUCUUGAACCUCUUCCCGCAGCUAUCUGCCUUGCAUAUGAAUCUGGCAUCCCCUCUGCAUGCCUC